CCUACGGGUGGCAGCAGUGGGGAAUAUUGGGCAAUGGGCGCAAGCCUGACCCAGCAACGCCGCGUGAAGGAAGAAGGCUUUCGGGUUGUAAACUUCUUUUCUCAGGGACGAAGCAAGUGACGGUACCUGAGGAAUAAGCCACGGCUAACUACGUGCCAGCAGCCGCGGUAAUACGUAGGUGGCAAUCGUUAUCCGGAUUUACUGGGUGUAAAGGGCGUGUAGGCGGGGAUGCAAGUCAGCUGUGAAAUCCCCGGGCUCAACCCGUGGCCUGCAUUUGAAACUGGGUUUCUUGAGUGCUGGAGAGGCAGGCGGAAUUCCUGGUGUAGCGGUGAAAUGCGUAGAUAUUAGGAGGAACACCAGUGGCGAAGGCGGUCUGCUGGACAGUAACUGACGCUGAGGCGCGAAAGCGUGGGGAGCAAACAGGAUUAGAUACCCUAGUAGUC
rnacentral:rRNA from 1 species